rnacentral:tRNA from 1 species
GAUAGUGUGGCGUAGUGGUUUGAGUGUUUGACUAUGACUCUGGAGACCAGGGUUUGAUUCCCAGCUCAGUCA